rnacentral:rRNA from 1 species
GUAAGGAAUAUUGGUCAAUGGACGAAAGUCUGAACCAGCCAUGCCGCGUGGAGGAUUAAGGCCCUCUGGGUUGUAAACUCCUUUUAUCUGGGAAGAAAUGUACUUUUUCUUGAGUACUUGACGGUACCAGAGGAAUAAGCACCGGCUAACUCCGUGCCAGCAGCCGCGGUAAUACGGAGGGUGCAAGCGUUAUCCGGAUUCACUGGGUUUAAAGGGUGCGUAGGCGGGCAGGUAAGUCAGUGGUGAAAUCUCCGAGCUUAACUCGGAAACUGCCGUUGAUACUAUUUGUCUUGAAUAUUGUGGAGGUAAGCGGAAUAUGUCAUGUAGCGGUGAAAUGCUUAGAUAUGACAUAGAACACCAAUUGCGAAGGCAGCUUACUACACAACGAUUGACGCUGAGGCACGAAAGCGUGGGGAUCAAACAGGAUUAGAAACCCCAGUAGUCC